rnacentral:rRNA from 1 species
GACGAACGCUGGCGGCGGGCUUAACACAUGCAAGUCGAACGGAAAGGCCCUGCUUUUGUGGGGUUCUCGAGUGGCGAACGGGUGCGUAACACGUGAGUAACCUGCCCUUGACUUUGGUAUAACUUCAGGAAACUGGGGCUAAUACCGGAUAGGAUCUCCUGCUGCAGGGUGGGGGUUGGAAAGUUUCGGCGGUUGGGGAUGGACUCGCGGCUUAUCAGCUUGCUGGUUGGGGAGGGGCUUACCAAGCCAUUGACGGGUAGCCGGCCUGAGAGGGUGGACGGCCUCAUUGGGCCUACGGUACGCACCAGACUCCUACGUGGGGCAGCAGUGGGGAAUCUUGCACAAUGGGAGGAAGCCUGAGACGGCAACGCCGCGUGCGGGAUGACGGCUUUCGGGUUGUAAACCGCUUUCGCCUGUGACGAAGCGUGAGUGACGGUAAUGGGUAAAGAAGCACCGGCUAACUACGUG